GGGAAGGGCGGGAAGCGCCUCUCCCUGCCCUCUUCCCUUCUCCCUGCCCUCUUCCCGCCUCCCGCGGCCGGGAAUCUCCGCCAGGAACGCGCACACGCCGCCGCUGUGACAGGGAACGGGGGGGGGGAGCGGCUUCUCCUGCCCGCCCCUUCCUUCGGUGCCUGGAGCCGCGCUCGCCGCUGCCCGGGCUGCCUCAGGGACCUCCCGCCUGAAGGGAGCGCUUAGCCCGCCAGCUCCAUAGAGAGGAAGCUCCCGUGCUUCCAGGCGGUUUUCCAGGUCUUCGGGAUGGUUUAUUGGCGUUUUCCGCCGUCGGGACGCGGGACGGAAGAGCUGCCGCCAUAUCUCCUUCCCGCCCAGCCCGGCUGAGGGGAGCGGGGGCACCUGUGGGCACCGGACCGCGAAAGUGAGCGUUUGAAGGGCUACGGCCCUGCAGUAACUUUAACAACAGAAUCCAAGUGAACUGCUAGAAACACCUUAAAAGAUGGUUUUCCUGACAAAUCAGGUCUUUGAUCUGAGAGCAGCAGCACCAGAGUCAGCAGAAGGAAGGGAGGAAGGGGCCUUCUGGAGCGUGGAGGUGUCACAUGCCAAGCUCAAGGAGCACAACAGAAGAGCACUGGGUGACCUUGAGUCAGUCCUGCUUUUGUUCAGAAUGGAAUAUUGAAAGCAAAAUUCCUUUUACUGCACACAGUUUCUUUUUUUUUUUUUUUUAACUAGAAAUUUUAACCUGAGAUUAAAUUGCACGAGACAAGAACUAUAACUGCCUGAUGAGUGAUCAUCAGCCUCCUGCCCUCCUGUGCUUUGCUUUCUCCUGACCUUUCUUCUCUCCCUGUGCCAUUCCAGCAAGGUUGUUUUAUCCCCAGGAGGCCUCUUCCCUUCCCUUGCCUGUGAAGCUCCUUGAGGAUCUGGAAAUAUUUGCUCUGGUAAAGUGCCAGCACUGCUCUAGAGGAGUAACUUGGAGAAAUGAAAGACAUGGGCAAAACUAAAAUUCUUUAAUCCAAAUUUAGGACUGGAUUCAGAGUUUGAGAACAUACACUUGCCAAAAUUCAUGUCCCAACACUGAACUAAAAAUCCUGGUUUUCUUUAACAUAAAGAUGGAGUCCAGUUAUAUCUGUGACCUCGAGGCUGGAAUGCUGCUGGAAAUCAUUGGAAGCCACAUGUAAGUUAACCCACUUUUAAAGUUUCACCACUUGACUGCCACUGCCCUCUUAGCAUUUUCAGCUUUUUAACAAGCUUCUCAUUUAACUAGACCCCGAGAAGCCAAAUUCAAUUAGUUUGAUUUAGCCCAAAUAGUAGAGAAUAUACUCAAAAUUCAGCUGCAUUAGGCCAAAAAUGCAUCAUGGAAGUACAGAAAAGGCAUUUCGGAGCACGAGAGUGCCACCAGCAUCUGAACCACCUUACCAGAGUCCAGGCAGCUUCUGUUAAACACUGGGACCAUGAAAGUCUAUAAACCUCAAGACUCAGGAAAAGCUGAGGCAAUAUUUAAAAAGACUUAAGAUUUAAAAUGUGUUCACAACAAAAAAAACCCCAGACCACUUGAUGGGGCACCUGGAAGAGAUAUUCCAGUGUAUCUUUUAGGAAAAAGUGCUGUUUGGCUUUUAACUUACAAAUAAAAGUGAAAAAUCUGA